rnacentral:rRNA from 1 species
CCUACGGGAGGCAGCAGUGAGGAAUAUUGGUCAAUGGACGAGAGUCUGAACCAGCCAAGUAGCGUGAAGGAUGACUGCCCUAUGGGUUGUAAACUUCUUUUAUAUGGGAAUAAAACAGGGUAUGCAUACCCUCUUGUAUGUACCAUAUGAAUAAGGAUCGGCUAACUCCGUGCCAGCAGCCGCGGUAAUACGGAGGAUCCGAGCGUUAUCCGGAUUUAUUGGGUUUAAAGGGAGCGUAGGUGGAUUGUUAAGUCAGUUGUGAAAGUUUGCGGCUCAACCGUAAAAUUGCAGUUGAUACUGGCAGUCUUGAGUACAGUAGAGGUGGGCGGAAUUCGUGGUGUAGCGGUGAAAGGCUUAGAUAUCACGAAGAACUCCGAUUGCGAAGGCAGCUCACUGGACUGCAACUGACACUGAUGCUCGAAAGUGUGGGUAUCAAACAGGAUUAGAUACCCUUGUAGUC